rnacentral:rRNA from 1 species
GAUGAACGCUGGCGGCGUGCCUAAUACAUGCAAGUCGAGCGAACGGACGAGAAGCUUGCUUCACUGAUGUUAGCGGCGGAUGGGUGAGUAAAACGUGGAUAACCUACCUAUAAGACUGGGAUAACUUCGGGAAACCGGAGCUAAUACCGGAUAAUAUUUUGAACCGCAUGGUUCAAAAGUGAAAGACGGUCUUGCUGUCACUUAUAGAUGGAUCCGCGCUGCAUUAGCUAGUUGGUAAGGUAACGGCGUACCAAGGCAACGAUGACUAGCCGACCUGAGAGCGUGAUCGACAAAACUAGAACUGGGACAAGGUCCUGGCACCUACGGGAGGCAGCAGUAAAGAAUCAUCCGCAAUGGGCAAAAGCCUGACGAAGCAACGCCGCAUCAUUGAUGAAGAUCUUCGAAUCGUAAAACUCUGUUAUUAGUAUAGACCAUAUGUAUAAGUAACUGAGCACAUCUUGACGGUACCUUAUCAGAAAACCACGGCUAACUACGUG